CUAACCUUAUAUUGUAAGAUUAACUUCAGUAAAAUUUACUUAACUUUCAUAAACAAAUGUGAAUUUUCUUGUUUUUUUUCUUUAUGUUAAAAUGAUAGAAUUAAAUCAGAACCUCUUUGAGAUUCUUACCAUGUGGUGUCAUGGCCACCAUGCUAAACGGUAAACUCUGUGCAAAAUUAACAGCAGAAUGCUUAUAUCAAGGUUUCCCCUCUUCACAAUAAGGUUAUUUUAAAUUAUGACCAUGAAAUGUGUCUACUAACAUCAAGAGCCAAGAAAUAUAUUUGACAAUAACAACAACAAAACUCUGGGAAGAGUAAUAUUACCAAAAGUUACUACCACAUUUUUAUUGGCGUGUGAAAAGGAAGUAGAAAUUUCUCACCUCAGUAAUAUUAGGAGUCUUUUAAUCAUAUUUUUCACACUAGUCAAGAUUUGUCCCAGGUACUAAUUCUAACUUUUAAAAUCUUUUUUCCUGUAGCUUUCUGGAUAUUGUAAAAAUGCUGAAUAAGUUUGUAAUUAUGUAAGUUUCAUAGAGCUUUAUUUUGGGGUGAGAGUUUUUGUUAUAGUUUAUAAAAGAUAUUUUCCUAUUUAGACCUCAGGGCUAUUUGGGGACCUACAAAUAAAUGUGAUACCAGCUGUUUCAAUUCUUGAUAUCUAAAAGGUUAAUCAUUUUUAAGUUAAAUAGGAUAUAUAAGUUAGCAGAAAGAAUGUCUUUCCCUUUUAACUUCUAAUAAACUGUAUCUAUAGUUUAAAAAGUGUAAGAGAAAAGAUGUUGUCAUAUAAAAAUGUGGGGAAACUGUGGCUACAUAAUUAAAAAUCACUUGUGAAAUAAAAAAUAAAAUCCUCUUUUUUUUAAACUUUACUUAUGAGUUGGGUCAAAUAAAGCCCCAUACAACUUCAAUCACUGUCCUGACAUUUUGUCUGCUUUUGAACUUUGUACAGAAACAUAAAAAUUAAAUAGUGUUAUAGGUUGACAAAAAAAUAGAUGGACAAAUGUAUGAUAUAUGUUGAUUCUCCACUUCUACAAUCUUAAUCACUAUUUUUCUUUUACCUUGAACAUUAACACUAAAUUUUUCAAGAUAUAAUUUCUUUAACAUAGGGAUACCAAUUAUGUUUUAUUUCCCUUUUGUUAAAAAAUGAUGUUGAAUCUUUUCUCUUUUUUUAAAUUUUCAAGUAUAUCAAUAUUCUAGUUAAUAGAAAUAAUACUUCUCCAAGUAUAUAUUUGCUGCUCAUUUUUAAUCUCUAUGCUGACAACAUAAUCCCAAUUAUGGACAAAUAUAUUUUUCUUUCUUGGUUUAUUCUCUGAAGAUUGGAUAAAAGGCAUUUUAGUGACUCCACAAUUCUUUUGGAAAGAGAUCUCAAAACUAAGUUCUUUCAUUCUUCAUUUUCAACUCAACUGUAUGACGAAAUGUGUUCCAAAAGUAACUGGAAUUGUUCAUAAUUCAUGCUUUCCUGGAGAUAAGAGUCUUUAAAAUUAUUAACUAGAAGCUUCUCUGCACUAUGAUCAGGUUAAUAGAGAUUAUUACAAAGAGGAUGUACAUAGGCUAACUGUAAAUACUAUGCCAAUUUACAUAAGGAUUUGAGAACUGGCAAAUCUGGGAAUAUUCAGAGGGGUUCCUGAAACCAAUCCCCCACAGAAACCAAGGAGCAACUGCAUAUUUUUUUUUAAAGGAACAGCUCCUAAUGCACUUUUUUGGUUCUUUCUCUGCAAUUAUGCUAACAAGUAUCAUGCUGAGAAAGGAUUAGUCCUGAUGGACAAUCAAAGACAAUGCUUCCUUCCUGGUAAAAAGGUGAGAAAAGAUGUUGGCAUCUGAGCUGCAGUUAUUAGGCAUUGCAGCAGGAGGUCCAUAUGACCAGUUAGUGAGCACAAUCAGAGUCAGCUGAAGUAGAGGAACUGCCUUGUCACUAGGCAGGCUCCUCUGUGCCGUCAUAUAUGUAGCUUCUCUGACUUGGUGGGUGGAAACCACACAGCACACAUCUUCCUGACAGUCCGACAUGGUGUCCUUCUCUCAGCUUGGCAGCCAUGACACCGGCCAGGUAAAAACUCCUGGUGGGAUGAAGCAUUUGGCAUAGCAGCAGGACGUGUGCACCUGCAAAAUCUG
ensembl:lncRNA